UACGUAGGGGGCAAGCGUUGUCCGGAAUUAUUGGGCGUAAAGGGCUCGUAGGCGGUUUCUUAAGUCUGAUGUGAAAGCCCACAGCUCAACUGUGGAGGGUCAUUGGAAACUGGGGAACUUGAGUGCAGAAGAGGAGAGUGGAAUUCCACGUGUAGCGGUGAAAUGCGUAGAUAUGUGGAGGAACACCAGUGGCGAAGGCGACUCUCUGGUCUGUAACUGACGCUGAGGAGCGAAAGCAUGGGGAGCGAACAGG
rnacentral:rRNA from 1 species